rnacentral:lncRNA from 1 species
GCUAAUUCCACAUCAUCACUUGUUGUUGUACAGAGUUCGAUCAUCAAGAAUAAUACUCUACACCAUUUAAAGCAAAUGAUUUAUGAAGAACGAAUUUAUCUAAUGCAGGAAUCCAUAAAGUUGGUCGUAUGUAUAGGACAAAAUUUAAACAAUAUCACACUAAAGAUAAGAAAAAUGGGAGGCCCAAUCGAAGGGAUUAACUUCUGAUCAGUGUAUGUUAGUAUUCAAAUAUUAAAUUGAUUCAGUUUAAGAAGAUCUGAUUCCGAUAAUAAAUGGUUCAUGCAAACGAAGACAUAGUAAUCACAUUUGGAUGGAAAAUAGCAAGAAAAUGCAGUUUAUAUAGUUGGUUUUUGGUCAUCAAAUGAAAAUUUUAUUAAUGCAACCGACUAUGAAAUUCCUGUGCAUCAAAUAGGAGCUGAUUCAUUAAAUUCAAGAAUUGAUUUAGCCAUAUGGAAAGUUUUAUUUUAUCUAAAUAUCCUUUUUUGUAAAUAUUUUUAACAAGCAAUUAAACAUAAUUAAUAAAUGUGUAAUUCAUAUAAACUGCCUUUUCAGUACUAUUUUAUUUAUGUUUAUUAUAUUUAAAUACUAAAUGGCAAAUGUAAUAAAUAAUUUGUUUUUAAAA